rnacentral:lncRNA from 1 species
UCUACCCAAGGGGCUCUUUGUUUGUGCUGCUAUCCUCUAAGCUUGAUAAACAGCCUCCAUUCUGCUCCCUCAACAACAUGGCUGAUUUCUCCUGCUGAUGCCUGCACAACACCCUCUUGCAAACUGCAAAGAAUAAGAAAGAAGGAGCUAUAAAGCUCAGAGAGGUGACGUGACCUGUCCAAAAUCACAUACCUACGACAAGGUUUGAUAUGGCAUGUCAUGUGGUGACUUUUUCUUUUUAAAUGAUGUCAAGAGCCAGGCAUGGUGGCACAAUUCUGCAGUCCCAGCUACUCGGGAGGCUGAGGCAGGAGGAGCACUUGAGCCCAGGAGUUCAAAUCCAACCUUGGCAACUAAAAAUAGGUAAAUAAAUAAAUAAUGAUAGACUUAUGAUUGGCUGGCUGGGUAGUUGGUUGAUUUGUUGGCUGGCUGGGUGACUGGUUAGUCUGUGAAUUGGAUGGUGCAUUGGCUGGUUGUUUGACAGGGAAGGGAGGAAAGAGAGAAGGGAAGAAAGAAGCCAGAGAGCUGAGGAGAUGACCAGACUCUAUGUAAGGUGGGAUGGCCAGUACAGAAUGCCCAAGAGUAGGGCAGUGAAAAAGCUCCUUUAAGAACUGGGGUGGCUGAUAUCCCUUGCUGCUUUCAUCACCACAGCUUCAACCAUCUCUCUUUUUUUUACCUUAAAGACCAGUGUGACAGUAAACUUAAGUCAUCUCUGUGGCUGCAAACCUUUUGAACAGUCCAUUACAGGCCCAUCAGUGAUUCUUUGUGGAAAUCAAGUAAUAAGACUGAGUUCCAAAUCUUGAAACAGGAACAUG